rnacentral:rRNA from 1 species
CGACCGGCGCACGGGUGAGUAACGCGUAUGCAACUUACCUAUCAGAGGGGGAUAACCCGGCGAAAGUCGGACUAAUACCGCAUGAAGCAGGGAUCCCGCAUGGGAAUAUUUGCUAAAGAUUCAUCGCUGAUAGAUAGGCAUGCGUUCCAUUAGGCAGUUGGCGGGGUAACGGCCCACCAAACCGACGAUGGAUAGGGGUUCUGAGAGGAAGGUCCCCCACAUUGGUACUGAGACACGGACCAAACUCCUACGGGAGGCAGCAUG